rnacentral:lncRNA from 1 species
GCGAUCCCGCUCGACCGUCCCCAGGCCUUGCAAUCCAUCCAUUAGAAACAAAACAACAACAACAAAAAUCCAUCCGCUAACCAACAUUUCUGCACAGGCUGCUUUCCCUGGUGAUGAGAAAUUAAGUCCACGCGGAUGUCCCCAUCGCCGGAUAGUUAAGGUGGCCGAAACCCAGAGUGCCAACCGUUCUCACGGCCUACGCCACGUUUGCGGCGGGCUUGCCACAUGUCGUGCGUGGUGCCUCUUCGGGUCAGCCCAGACCCAUAAGGAGUGGGGAGUACUACGGUUUCCAGAUGGAAAAGUGGAGGCUCUGAGAAGCAAGGUAGCUUGCCUAGGACCCCAGGGACAGCCGGCGGUGGCCCUGUGAUGCUGCCUGACUCCACAGCACCCCAGGCCCCCCCCCCAUUUUAAACAAACGGCUGAGAAUCGCAGACCAUUUGGCAGGAAAGACCCCCAGGGAGGCCAUAACCUGCUGAUUGAGGAGGACUGGGGCUCAGACAAGGGGAGGAGCUUGCUCAGGGACACAGCAAGACCACGCCCCCGGGUUGGGGUGUUCUUGGGUCCACCCCACUGCCAACCAGCCAGAGGGAGCCAGUGAGCUUGUGCCCUCUUCCAAUGCCACCACUCAGCGGCGUUCACCCUUGUAUGUGCACCGGGUGGAGGUGGGGGGUGCGUUGCAUGGUACAGAUUCCUGGCACCCCCCUCCGAGGUCGGGACAAGAGCCCAGGAAUUGGCAUGUUAUGAAGCACUGUCAUUGAAGAGGACAAUCUGGUGGCCCUGGGCCCCACCCCCAGAGCCCGUAGCUCACACCCCUCCAGAAGGGUGUUCCCAGCGGGGCCUGGGGCAGGAGGUCUUGAGAGGCCCCAGGGAGGCCCCCCUCCCCCUCCAGAUGCGGUCCAGGGAAUAGCGUUUGGAAUCCCAGGGAACUCCGGCACAGCCGGGCUUUGGCCAAAAGCAUCACUAAUCACCUGGACAGCGACGGCCAGUCCAUGCAGUCCUCCCGGCAGCUGUCGGCGGAUCUCAGUGCUGCCCCACGGCUUGGAUGGGGAAAUGGAGGCCGCCCACAGGAAGUGGCCUGGCGGGCCAGGGCCAAGACCACACCCAGCGAUCCCCAGGCCAGGGACCCUCCCCAGCCCAGCAGGUCUUCCCUACCUUGGCUCCACUGGACACAAUCUUCGAAAGCGUCAGGCCAGUGAACGGUCUGAUUUUGCCAGAGGCCCGAGACCCGGACCCAGGCAGAGCCUGAUGGUAACGUGGCGAGAGGGUUCUGCGGAUUGACUGGUCAGCCCCCGGCCCCCUGCCUGGCUCGGACGCUGAGGGGCCAGUGGCUGGAUGAGUGAGAGGACAGCUGGGUGACCCGCGCCUCCCCGAGCUGGGGCCCUGGCCCUCCUGUGGGGCUGGUGGGGCACUGGGCCUCCCGGAGCUGGCUGUGUGCUCCGGCCCGGGCCCUCCGCUGCCAGAAAGCGGAGCCAGGCGGCCCCCGGAUGGGGCCCUGGGCCUCCAAAAUAGGAAGAGGUUCUGGGACACGUGGGUCUUGACCCCACCCCAUCCCCGCCGGCCUCCAAACUGUGUGGCUGGUGGAGGGGACGUGUCACUUA